GCUCGCUCCUCUGACGUUAGCGGCGGACGGGUGAGUAACACGUGGAUAACCUACCUAUAAGACUGGGAUAACUUCGGGAAACCGGAGCUAAUACCGGAUAAUAUAUUGAACCGCAUGGUUCAAUAGCGAAAGACGGUUUUGCUGUCACUUAUAGAUGGAUCCGCGCCGCAUUAGCUAGUUGGUAAGGUAACGGCUUACCAAGGCAACGAUGCGUAGCCGACCUGAGAGGGUGAUCGGCCACACUGGAACUGAGACACGGUCCAGACUCCUACGGGAGGCAGCAGUAGGGAAUCUUCCGCAAUGGGCGAAAGCCUGACGGAGCAACGCCGCGUGAGUGAUGAAGGUCUUCGGAUCGUAAAACUCUGUUAUUAGGGAAGAACAAAUGUGUAAGUAACUAUGCACGUCUUGACGGUACCUAAUCAGAAAGCCACGGCUAACUACGUGCCAGCAGCCGCGGUAAUACGUAGGUGGCAAGCGUUAUCCGGAAUUAUUGGGCGUAAAGCGCGCGUAGGCGGUUUUUUAAGUCUGAUGUGAAAGCCCACGGCUCAACCGUGGAGGGUCAUUGGAAACUGGAAAACUUGAGUGCAGAAGAGGAAAGUGGAAUUCCAUGUGUAGCGGUGAAAUGCGCAGAGAUAUGGAGGAACACCAGUGGCGAAGGCGACUUUCUGGUCUGUAACUGACGCUGAUGUGCGAAAGCGUGGGGAUCAAAC
rnacentral:rRNA from 1 species